rnacentral:rRNA from 1 species
UAUUGCCUACGGGGGGCAGCAGUGGGGAAUAUUGCACAAUGGGGGAAACCCUGAUGCAGCGACGCCGCGUGAGCGAAGAAGGAUUUCGGUAUGUAAAGCUCUAUCAGCAGGGAAGAAAAAUGACGGUACCUGAGUAAGAAGCACCGGCUAAAUACGUGCCAGCAGCCGCGGUAAUACGUAUGGUGCAAGCGUUAUCCGGAUUUACUGGGGGUAAAGGGAGCGCAGGCGGUGCGGCAAGUCUGAUGUGAAAGCCCGGGGCUCAACCCCGGGACUGCCUUGGAAACUACCGAACUAGAGUGGCGGCG